UACGUAGGUGGCAAGCGUUGUCCGGAUUUACUGGGCGUAAAGGGCGCGUAGGCGGUUUGUCAAGUCAGUUGUGAAAUCUCCGAGCUUAACUCGGAACGGUCAACUGAUACUGUCAAACUAGAGUACAGAAGGGGCAAUCGGAAUUCUUGGUGUAGCGGUGAAGUGCGUAGAUAUCAAGAGGAACACCUGAGGUGAAGACGGGUUGCUGGGCUGAUACUGACGCUGAGGCGCGAAAGCUAGGGUAGCAAACGGG
rnacentral:rRNA from 1 species